rnacentral:rRNA from 1 species
UACAGAGGGUGCUAGCGUUGUUCGGAAUCAUUGGGCGUAAAGGGCGUGUAGGCGGUUUGUUAAGUCAUGUGUGAAAUCCCUCGGCUCAACCGGGGAACGACGCAUGAAACUGGCAAGCUAGAGUACCAAAGAGGGGGGUGGAAUUCCUGGUGUAGCGGUGAAAUGCGCAGAUAUCAGGAGGAACACCGGUGGCGAAGGCGGGUCUCUGGGCAGUAACUGACGCUGAGGAGCGAAAGCGUGGGGAGCGAACAGG